UGUCAAGUUUGUAAGUGUGUGGUUCAAGCUACGGCUGAAACCUAAAUAUCCGUUUUUUUACCCUUCGGGGGAAAAACGGUUCUAUUUAGGUGUUCGAGCCUACGCUUGAACCACAUGUGAGACGUGUUUAUUAUCUGCCGGCGC